GACGAACGCUGGCGGCGUGCUUAACACAUGCCAGUCGAACGGAAAGGCCCUGCUUUUGUGGGGUGCUCGAGUGGCGAACGGGUGAGUAACACGUGAGUAACCUGCCCUUGACUUUGGGAUAACUUCAGGAAACUGGGGCUAAUACCGGAUAGGAGCUCCUGCUGCAUGGUGGGGGUUGGAAAGUUUCGGCGGUUGGGGAUGGACUCGCGGCUUAUCAGCUUGUUGGUGGGGUAGUGGCUUACCAAGGCUUUGACGGGUAGCCGGCCUGAGAGGGUGACCGGCCACAUUGGGACUGAGAUACGGCCCAGACUCCUACGGGAGGCAGCAGUGGGGAAUAUUGCACAAUGGGCGGAAGCCUGAUGCAGCAACGCCGCGUGCGGGAUGACGGCCUUCGGGUUGUAAGCCGCUUUCGCCUGUGACAAAGCGUGAGUGACGGUAAUGGGUAAAGAAGCACCGGCUAACUACGUG
rnacentral:rRNA from 1 species